ACGACGACCCUCGGCAACGGAUAUCUCGGCUCUCGCAUCGAUGAAGAACGUAGCGAAAUGCGAUACUUGGUGUGAAUUGCAGAAUCCCGUGAACCAUCGAGUCUUUGAACGCAAGUUGCGCCCAAAGCCAUUAGGCCAAGGGCACGCCUGCCUGGGCGUCUCGCA
rnacentral:rRNA from 1 species